rfam:Tupaia chinensis contig175565, whole genome shotgun sequence.
GGGUACCCCGGGAGGUCACUCUCCCUGGGCUCUGUCCAGGUGGCAUAGGGAAGCAUAGGGCUCUGCCCCAGGAUGAAGCUGGGCCCAGCGCCUGCACCUGCAUAUUCCUACAGCUUCCCAGAGUCCUUUGGACAGUGACUGUGGGGACAAACCAUGCAGGAAACACCU